AAUAGAGCUCUGAAAUGAAAAUGA
rnacentral:piRNA from 1 species